rnacentral:rRNA from 1 species
CCUACGGGAGGCAGCAGUAGGGAAUCUUCCACAAUGGACGAAAGCCUGAUGGAGCAACGCCGCGUGAGUGAAGAAGGGUUUCGGCUCGUAAAGCCCUGUUGGUAGUGAAGAAAGAUAGUGGUAGUAACUAGCCCUUAUUUGACGGUAAUUACUUAGAAAGUCACGGGCAACUACGUGCCCGCAGCCGCCGUAAUACGUAGGUGGCAAGCGUUGUCCGGUUUUAUUGGGCGUGAAGCGAGUGCAGGCGGCUCAAUAAGUCUGAUGUGAAAGCCUUCGGCUCAACCGGAGAAUUGCAUCAGAAACUGGUGGACUUGAGUGCAGAAGAGGAGAGUGGAACUCCAGGUGUAGCGGUGGAAUGCGUAGAUAUAUGGAGGAACACCAGUGGCGAAGGCGGCUUUCUGGUCUGCAACUGACGCUGAGGCUCGAAAGCAUGGGUAGCGAACAGGAUUAGAUACCCCAGUAGUC